AGCUAAAGCGUGUUGUCUUCUCCCGAGGGUGUGCACAGGUUCAUGUAUCAGCUGAAUAAGGCCCUGUUCCAAAAACUGAUAUUUCAAGGGAACCUUAAUUUAUCUUUAAAUUUAAUGCUGGUCCCUGCAGACGGCUUCCCAUUUUUAUGACCGGAUGCUGGGAAGCCUGCUGGUCCACAGGUCCAUACAUGAAGUCACCAUAAGAUGGAGGCUCGCUCUGUCAUCCUGGCUGCAGUGCAGUGGCACAAUCUUGGGUCGCUGCAACCUCCAUUUCCCAGGUUCAAGUGAUUCUCCUGCUUCAGCCUCCUGAGUAGCUGGGAUUACAGGCGUGCGCCACAACGCCCAGUUAAUUUUUUUGUAUUUUUAGUAGACAUGGGGUUUUGCUAUGUUGGCCAGUCUGGUCUCAAACUCCUGGCCUCAAGUAAUCAGCCCGCCUCAGCCUCCCAAAGUGCUGGGAUUAACAGGCGUGAGCCACCAUGUCCCGUCAGGGAUGAUUUUAUUCUGUGAAAAGCGGCAUUCCUUUUCUAACACAAAACCUCUCCUCUGCUCUGCCCUCCCAACCCUGUAGCCUCAUUUCCUAUAUAGUUGUUUUCAUACUGAUUAUCUCUGAAGACAUUGCCAGGUCGUUUUUGUUUGUUUUGAGACAAGGUCUUGCUCUGUUACCCAGGCUGGAGUACAGUGGCACGAUGUCGGCUCACUGCAGCCUCCACCUCCCAGGGUCAAGCGAUUGUCGUGCCUCAGACUCCCAAAUAGCUGGGAAUACAGGGGCAUGCCUCCACACCUAGCUAAUUUUUGUAUUUUUUGUAGAGAUGGGUUUCACUGUGUUGCCCAGGCUGGUCUCAAACUCCUGGACUCAAGUGAGCGACCACGCCCAGCCGACAUUCCCAGGUUUUCUUUACGUUUUAAUAAAUAUGAGUAGUCCA
rnacentral:lncRNA from 1 species